ACCGUUCUGCCAGCUUCAGCUUUCAAAGCACAACAGGCACCUGGAGGUUUCCGUCACAUCAGCCGUUCUCUUCCCAGACAAACUCGCUACAAGAACUCGGCGACAUGAGAAGGAUAUUGUGCUGGGGCCUGUGGUGGAUAAUCUUCCAACCCAUGCUUUCACUGAGAGGAGAAAAAAUGAAACAUAAUAACCAUAUACCACCAACAGUGAUCCAGACAGAGAAGUAUUCUAGAGGAGGACAUAAUGCUUCUGCUACAACCCACCCCAAGGGCACCAAGGGUAAAUUCUGGCACUGGGUGUAACACACAAAAAAGUAUCCUAAACAGUUGGUGUCAGUAGCAAAAUAUAGUUUAAUUUACAAUUCAAGUAAAAACUCAGUCACAGUAGACAAAAAGCACAGGGAAGCUUUUAAGCUUCAGGGUCUCCAAGGCCAAAACAAACAAGCAAACAAAACAUCCCCCUUUUAAUUAUAAAAUAAAAACACUUUCUAGAAGAGAACUGAAAAGGAAGUACAAUACCUGAACUCCCUGACUAACCAAUAAAUAGUUAAACAAAAUGGCAGAGAACCCCUACCAGCUUCCACUGUGAAUAGAAACAAAACUUUAUGUGACCAGCAGGGGGUGGUCUUUUUAAACAAGAUGCACCAGAACACGGAAUAGUCCACAAUAUUUUAUUUAAACAAUUUCAUUAAAACAUUUCUCUUUUUUAAAAAAAAAACAUGGCUUCAGGCCUACUACUGGGUCCCUGGAAAAGAAAGGGAUCAUAUGAAAUAAGGACACUUUAAAUUAUUC